GCGGCGUGCGUCCGUGCGUAUUGCCGCAGUUUGAUGUACAAGUGAGAGACAUGGACGGCACUAUAGUUUCAGGGUUCGUUAUGAAGACGUUUGACAAGUUGCUAAGUUGAGAAGUUGUUUGAGAACUCGCUACCAAUGGCCGAGUCCAGAACAACACUGGGAUCAGUCAAUGAAGGAUUUGCCAAGUUACAGCAGCCUCCUAUCCAUCACAAGCUUUUGGGCUGAACGCAGACAUGGUAAGCUGUAGUACUCUUUCUCUAAUUUCAGGUAAACCAGGGCCAGUGCAUUCAUUGCG